CCUACGGGUGGCUGCAGUGGGGGAUAUUGCACAAUGGGGGGAACCCUGAUGCAGCGACGCCGCGUGGGUGAAGAAGCGCCUCGGCGCGUAAAGCCCUGUCAGCAGGGAAGAAAAUGACGGUACCUGAAGAAGAAGCCCCGGCUAACUACGUGCCAGAAGCCGGGGGAAUACGUAGGGGGCCAGCGUUAUCCGGAUUUAGUGGGUGUAAAGGGGGCGCAGGGGGCGAUGCAAGCCAGGAGUGAAAGCCGGGGGCCCAACCCCGGGACUGCGGUUGAAACUGCGUGGCUGGAGUGCAGGAGGGGCAGGCGGAAUUCGUGGUGUAGCGGUGAAAUGCGUAGAUAUCAGGAGGAACACCGGUGGCGAAGGCGGCCUGCUGGACUGCAACUGACGUUGAGGCCCGAAAGCGUGGGGAGCGAACAGGAUUAGAUACCCCGGUAGUC
rnacentral:rRNA from 1 species